GUUCUGCAGUCUGGCAGGGCCCCGGGCUGAGAGUACUUGGGCCGGACAGACAGCAGAUAGAAUAUUCCCCAGAGGGAGCCGAGACAUAACUGCCCGAGUGCUGGGAGUUGUGCGCUAUGUCCCUCUUACACCCCAUUCUGUUGCCAUAGUGAUAAUAACCCCCCAUGUUGUUAUCCUUCCAUCAACAGACAGAGCGAUGCAGUGUGAUAUUAUUUACUGGGUAAAGACUCCUGGUAAACACUGAUACUGCCACAGCC
ensembl:scaRNA